GAACUGAAGAGUUUGAUCAUGGCUCAGAUUGAACGCUGGCGGCAGGCCUAACACAUGCAAGUCGAGCGGAUGAAGGGAGCUUGCUUCUGGAUUCAGCGGCGGACGGGUGAGUAAUGCCUAGGAAUCUGCCUGGUAGUGGGGGACAACGUUCCGAAAGGAGCGCUAAUACCGCAUACGUCCUACGGGAGAAAGUGGGGGAUCUUCGGACCUCACGCUAUCAGAUGAGCCUAGGUCGGAUUAGCUAGUAGGUGGGGUAAUGGCUCACCUAGGCGACGAUCCGUAACUGGUCUGAGAGGAUG
rnacentral:rRNA from 1 species